rnacentral:rRNA from 1 species
GGAAUUGACGGGGAGCACCACAACGGGUGGAGCUUGCGGUUUAAUUGGAUUCAACGCCGGAAAUCUUACCGGGACCGACAGCAAUAUGAAGGCCAGGCUGAAGACUUUGCCGGAUUAGCUGAGAGGUGGUGCAUGGCCGUCGUCAGUUCGUACUGUGAAGCAUCCUGUUAAGUCAGGCAACGAGCGAGACCCACGCCCACAGUUGCCAGCGUACUCCCUGGAGUGACGGGUACACUGUGGGGACCGCCGCUGCUAAAGCGGAGGAAGGAAUGGGCAACGGUAGGUCAGUAUGCCCCGAAUAUCCCGGGCUACACGCGAGCUACAAUGGUUGGUACAAUGGGUAUCUACCCCGAAAGGGGACGGGAAUCUCCUAAAACCAAUCUUAGUUCGGAUUGAGGGCUGCAACUCGCCCUCAUGAAGCUGGAAUCCGUAGUAAUCGCGUUUCAACAGAACGCGGUGAAUACGUCCCUGCUCCUU